AUUGAACGCUGGCGGCAGGCCUAACACAUGCAAGUCGAGCGAGCGGCGGACGGGUGAGGAAUGUCUGGGAAACUGCCUGAUGGGGGGGGAUAACAACAGGAAACGGUAGCUAAUCACACCUACCAUCCGGCGUGCACAGAUGGGCUUAGCUGGUAGGUGGGGUAACGGCUCCACUGGUAGUCGAUCCCUAGCUGGUCUGAGAGGAUGACCAGCCACACUGUAACUGAGACACGGUCCGGACUCCUACGGGAGGCAGAAGUGGGGAAUAUUGGACAAUGGGCGCAAGCCUGAUGCAGCCAUGCCGCGUGUGUGAAGAAGGCCUUCGGGUUGUAAAGCACUUUCAGCGGGGAGGCGUUACCCGCAGAAGAAGCACCGGCUAACUCCGUGCCAGCAGCCGCGGUAAUAC
rnacentral:rRNA from 1 species